CAUGCACACGCUGUAAAUGACGAU
rnacentral:piRNA from 1 species